ACUGUUUUAUGUUUUUCUUUUUUAAUGGGUAAAGGAUAUUUAUUAUCUUAAUAAUUAAAUGAUAUGUGGUUUUAUAUUGGUUGUUUUUAUUACAAAUUAGGAUAAAGAUUAUGAUUUUUUUUAAACAAGAAUUAGAGACUCUUUUAUAUUAAUUGUAAGUUUUGUUUUCUCAGUUUUAACUGAAAGAAAUUGGCAGCUGAUUAUAUUCUUCGAGGGGAUUGUGCUACUUGAAUAGAUGAUCCACUAAUAAAUUGACUUUCAUUUGUUGUUGGUGUAUAUCCGGUUUAUUUAUAAAAAAUUAUUAUUUUUUGUGUUAAAUUUGUUUUAAUCCAGGUCAAUAUGCUGCUGGUAUGAAAGGGGUUGAGGUGCAAUACAUUAUAAGUAGUAUUUUUGUAAAAAUUUUAUUUUUUAGGACUUCGUAGUAAUAAAAAAUUAGGUUGUUUUUGUGAAUGAGAUUUGGUUAGGGUACACAUCGCCCGUCAAUUUCAAUGAUUAGUU
rnacentral:rRNA from 1 species